GAGCAAUCUGUGUGACUGCGUACCUUUUGUAUAAUGGGUCAGCGACUUAUAUUCUGUAGCAAGGUUAACCGAAUAGGGGAGCCGAAGGGAAACCGAGUCUUAACUGGGCGUUAAGUUGCAGGGUAUAGACCCGAAACCCGGUGAUCUAGCCAUGGGCAGGUUGAAGGUUGGGUAACACUAACUGGAGGACCGAACCGACUAAUGUUGAAAAAUUAGCGGAUGACUUGUGGCUGGGGGUGAAAGGCCAAUCAAACCGGGAGAUAGCUGGUUCUCCCCGAAAGCUAUUUAGGUAGCGCCUCGUGAAUUCAUCUCCGGGGGUAGAGCACUGUUUCGGCAAGGGGGUCAUCCCGACUUACCAACCCGAUGCAAACUGCGAAUACCGGAGAAUGUUAUCACGGGAGACACACGGCGGGUGCUAACGUCCGUCGUGAAGAGGGAAACAACCCAGACCGCCAGCUAAGGUCCCAAAGUCAUGGUUAAGUGGGAAACGAUGUGGGAAGGCCCAGACAGCCAGGAUGUUGGCUUAGAAGCAGCCAUCAUUUAAAGAAAGCGUAAUAGCUCACUGGUCGAGUCGGCCUGCGCGGAAGAUGUAACGGGGCUAAACCAUGCACCGAAGCUGCGGCAGCGACGCUUAUGCGUUGUUGGGUAGGGGAGCGUUCUGUAAGCCUGUGAAGGUGUACUGUGAGGUAUGCUGGAGGUAUCAGAAGUGCGAAUGCUGACAUAAGUAACGAUAAAGCGGGUGAAAAGCCCGCUCGCCGGAAGACCAAGGGUUCCUGUCCAACGUUAAUCGGGGCAGGGUGAGUCGACCCCUAAGGCGAGGCCGAAAGGCGUAGUCGAUGGGAAACAGGUUAAUAUUCCUGUACUUGGUGUUACUGCGAAGGGGGGACGGAGAAGGCUAUGUUGGCCGGGCGACGGUUGUCCCGGUUUAAGCGUGUAGGCUGGUUUUCCAGGCAAAUCCGGAAAAUCAAGGCUGAGGCGUGAUGACGAGGCACUACGGUGCUGAAGCAACAAAUGCCCUGCUUCCAGGAAAAGCCUCUAAGCAUCAGGUAACAUCAAAUCGUACCCCAAACCGACACAGGUGGUCAGGUAGAGAAUACCAAGGCGCUUGAGAGAACUCGGGUGAAGGAACUAGGCAAAAUGGUGCCGUAACUUCGGGAGAAGGCACGCUGAUAUGUAGGUGAAGUCCCUCGCGGAUGGAGCUGAAAUCAGUCGAAGAUACCAGCUGGCUGCAACUGUUUAUUAAAAACACAGCACUGUGCAAACACGAAAGUGGACGUAUACGGUGUGACGCCUGCCCGGUGCCGGAAGGUUAAUUGAUGGGGUCAGCGCAAGCGAAGCUCUUGAUCGAAGCCCCGGUAAACGGCGGCCGUAACUAUAACGGUCCUAAGGUAGCGAAAUUCCUUGUCGGGUAAGUUCCGACCUGCACGAAUGGCGUAAUGAUGGCCAGGCUGUCUCCACCCGAGACUCAGUGAAAUUGAACUCGCUGUGAAGAUGCAGUGUACCCGCGGCAAGACGGAAAGACCCCGUGAACCUUUACUAUAGCUUGACACUGAACAUUGAGCCUUGAUGUGUAGGAUAGGUGGGAGGCUUUGAAGUGUGGACGCCAGUCUGCAUGGAGCCGACCUUGAAAUACCACCCUUUAAUGUUUGAUGUUCUAACGUGGACCCGUGAUCCGGGUUGCGGACAGUGUCUGGUGGGUAGUUUGACUGGGGCGGUCUCCUCCUAAAGAGUAACGGAGGAGCACGAAGGUUGGCUAAUCCUGGUCGGACAUCAGGAGGUUAGUGCAAUGGCAUAAGCCAGCUUGACUGCGAGCGUGACGGCGCGAGCAGGUGCGAAAGCAGGUCAUAGUGAUCCGGUGGUUCUGAAUGGAAGGGCCAUCGCUCAACGGAUAAAAGGUACUCCGGGGAUAACAGGCUGAUACCGCCCAAGAGUUCAUAUCGACGGCGGUGUUUGGCACCUCGAUGUCGGCUCAUCACAUCCUGGGGCUGAAGUAGGUCCCAAGGGUAUGGCUGUUCGCCAUUUAAAGUGGUACGCGAGCUGGGUUUAGAACGUCGUGAGACAGUUCGGUCCCUA
rnacentral:rRNA from 1 species